GGUGGAUGCCUUGGCACUAGAAGCCGAUGAAGGACGUUACUAACGACGAUAUGCUUUGGGGAGCUGUAAGUAAGCUUUGAUCCAGAGAUUUCCGAAUGGGGAAACCCAGCAUGAGUUAUGUCAUGUUAUCGAUAUGUGAAUACAUAGCAUAUCAGAAGGCACACCCGGAGAACUGAAACAUCUUAGUACCCGGAGGAAGAGAAAGAAAAUUCGAUUCCCUUAGUAGCGGCGAGCGAAACGGGAAGAGCCCAAACCAACAAGCUUGCUUGUUGGGGUUGUAGGACACUCUAUACGGAGUUACAAAGGACGACAUUAGACGAAUCAUCUGGAAAGAUGAAUCAAAGAAGGUAAUAAUCCUGUAGUCGAAAAUGUUGUCUCUCUUGAGUGGAUCCUGAGUACGACGGAGCACGUGAAAUUCCGUCGGAAUCUGGGAGGACCAUCUCCUAAGGCUAAAUACUCUCUAGUGACCGAUAGUGAACCAGUACCGUGAGGGAAAGGUGAAAAGCACCCCGGAAGGGGAGUGAAAUAGAACCUGAAACCGUGUGCUUACAAGUAGUCAGAGCCCGUUAAUGGGUGAUGGCGUGCCUUUUGUAGAAUGAACCGGCGAGUUACGAUUUGAUGCAAGGUUAAGCAGUAAAUGUGGAGCCGUAGCGAAAGCGAGUCUGAAUAGGGCGUUUAGUAUUUGGUCGUAGACCCGAAACCAGGUGAUCUACCCUUGGUCAGGUUGAAGUUCAGGUAACACUGAAUGGAGGACCGAACCGACUUACGUUGAAAAGUGAGCGGAUGAACUGAGGGUAGCGGAGAAAUUCCAAUCGAACCUGGAGAUAGCUGGUUCUCUCCGAAAUAGCUUUAGGGCUAGCCUCAAGUGAUGAUUAUUGGAGGUAGAGCACUGUUUGGACGAGGGGCCCCUCUCGGGUUACCGAAUUCAGACAAACUCCGAAUGCCAAUUAAUUUAACUUGGGAGUCAGAACAUGGGUGAUAAGGUCCGUGUUCGAAAGGGAAACAGCCCAGACCACCAGCUAAGGUCCCAAAAUAUAUGUUAAGUGGAAAAGGAUGUGGCGUUGCCCAGACAACUAGGAUGUUGGCUUAGAAGCAGCCAUCAUUUAAAGAGUGCGUAAUAGCUCACUAGUCGAGUGACACUGCGCCGAAAAUGUACCGGGGCUAAACAUAUUACCGAAGCUGUGGAUUGUCCUUUGGACAAUGGUAGGAGAGCGUUCUAAGGGCGUUGAAGCAUGAUCGUAAGGACAUGUGGAGCGCUUAGAAGUGAGAAUGCCGGUGUGAGUAGCGAAAGACGGGUGAGAAUCCCGUCCACCGAUUGACUAAGGUUUCCAGAGGAAGGCUCGUCCGCUCUGGGUUAGUCGGGUCCUAAGCUGAGGCCGACAGGCGUAGGCGAUGGAUAACAGGUUGAUAUUCCUGUACCACCUAUAAUCGUUUUAAUCGAUGGGGGGACGCAGUAGGAUAGGCGAAGCGUGCGAUUGGAUUGCACGUCUAAGCAGUAAGGCUGAGUAUUAGGCAAAUCCGGUACUCNNNNNNNNNNNNNNNNNNNNNNNNNNNNNNNNNNNNNNNNNNNNNNNNNNNNNNNNNNNNNNNNNNNNNNNNNNNNNNNNNNNNNNNNNNNNNNNNNNNNUUAAGGCUGAGCUGUGAUGGGGAGAAGACAUUGUGUCUUCGAGUCGUUGAUUUCACACUGCCGAGAAAAGCCUCUAGAUAGAAAAUAGGUGCCCGUACCGCAAACCGACACAGGUAGUCAAGAUGAGAAUUCUAAGGUGAGCGAGCGAACUCUCGUUAAGGAACUCGGCAAAAUGACCCCGUAACUUCGGGAGAAGGGGUGCUCUUUAGGGUUAACGCCCAGAAGAGCCGCAGUGAAUAGGCCCAAGCGACUGUUUAUCAAAAACACAGGUCUCUGCUAAACCGUAAGGUGAUGUAUAGGGGCUGACGCCUGCCCGGUGCUGGAAGGUUAAGAGGAGUGGUUAGCUUCUGCGAAGCUACGAAUCGAAGCCCCAGUAAACGGCGGCCGUAACUAUAACGGUCCUAAGGUAGCGAAAUUCCUUGUCGGGUAAGUUCCGACCCGCACGAAAGGCGUAACGAUUUGGGCACUGUCUCAACGAGAGACUCGGUGAAAUCAUAGUACCUGUGAAGAUGCAGGUUACCCGCGACAGGACGGAAAGACCCCGUGGAGCUUUACUGUAGCCUGAUAUUGAAAUUCGGCACAGCUUGUACAGGAUAGGUAGGAGCCUUUGAAACGUGAGCGCUAGCUUACGUGGAGGCGCUGGUGGGAUACUACCCUAGCUGUGUUGGCUUUCUAACCCGCACCACUUAUCGUGGUGGGAGACAGUGUCAGGCGGGCAGUUUGACUGGGGCGGUCGCCUCCUAAAAGGUAACGGAGGCGCUCAAAGGUUCCCUCAGAAUGGUUGGAAAUCAUUCAUAGAGUGUAAAGGCAUAAGGGAGCUUGACUGCGAGACCUACAAGUCGAGCAGGGUCGAAAGACGGACUUAGUGAUCCGGUGGUUCCGCAUGGAAGGGCCAUCGCUCAACGGAUAAAAGCUACCCCGGGGAUAACAGGCUUAUCUCCCCCAAGAGUUCACAUCGACGGGGAGGUUUGGCACCUCGAUGUCGGCUCAUCGCAUCCUGGGGCUGUAGUCGGUCCCAAGGGUUGGGCUGUUCGCCCAUUAAAGCGGUACGCGAGCUGGGUUCAGAACGUCGUGAGACAGUUCGGUCCCUAUCCGUCGUGGGCGUAGGAAAUUUGAGAGGAGCUGUCCUUAGUACGAGAGGACCGGGAUGGACAUACCUCUGGUGUACCAGUUGUCGUGCCAACGGCAUAGCUGGGUAGCUAUGUGUGGACGGGAUAAGUGCUGAAAGCAUCUAAGCAUGAAGCCCCCCUCAAGAUGAGAUUUCCCAACUUCGGUUAUAAGAUCCCUCAAAGAUGAUGAGGUUAAUAGGUUCGAGGUGGAAGCAUGGUGACAUGUGGAGCUGACGAAUACUAAUCGAUCGAAGACUUAAUCAA
rnacentral:rRNA from 1 species